rnacentral:rRNA from 1 species
CCCUUAGAUGUUCUGGGCAGCACGCGCGCUACAAUGGUCUUCGCAAACGGAUGCAUUCUCGAAGGAGAAUGCCAAUCUUGGAAUCUAUGCCUUGGUCGGGACAGUUGCUUGCAAUUUUUCGACUCAAACCAGGAAUUCCUUGUAAUCGUGAUUCAUCACAUCACGAUGAAUACGUCCCUGCCCUUUGUACACACCGCCCGUCGCUCCUACCGAUCGAAGAGUUAGGUGAAUUGUUUUGAUCGAUAAGAUUUGACUAUGGUCAACUCUCGUUGUGAAAUUCUGUGAAUCUGACUGUUUAGAGGAAGGAAAAGUCGUAACA